rnacentral:lncRNA from 1 species
AUCUUUCGAUCUUACGUCAUUUUUUGUUCGAUAAAUCACGAGACAGUACGACACUAAAGGCAGUGUUUAUUUAUCAUAGCGAAUUUUCAAGUCGGAUGUUUAACGAUAGAUAUAUAAUAUAUUUACAAAAUUUCUGUCAUAAAAAAAAUUCACACAAUUAUCUGAGUUAAUUAACACCUAAAAUAUCAACCAAUAAUUUUUCC